rnacentral:lncRNA from 1 species
AGUCAUACACUGAGGGUUCUGGGGAGAAGGAGGAAGAAAUAUUUGGGUCAUCUGCCAAAAAGCGGGUUUGGGGGUACUAGAAAACACAGGGAUGGGUCUAGCUGUAAAUUUACCCACAAAACUCCCUUACCACACUUCCCAUGGCCCUUCUCCUAUUGGAGUUUUGUCUCCAGAGGACUCAACCCAGUGUGUCACUCCACCGCUUUUCCUCACUGAAGGGGGCUUGGGCCCUCUUCUCUGCCAGGAAUGAAAGCUCCACAAAUGUGAGAGUUCCGUGUAUUGUGCUUUCUUCUCCUCAGCACCUAGAAUGACGCUGCCCCUUGCACACAUAUCAGAUACUUCAACAUGUCUGAUGAAAAGAAGCCUGGCACGAUGGGUAGGGCUCACCUGAGAGGCACAAGGGAGUGGUGCCUCUCUUCUGACAGCCUCGAACUCCAGGUUUGCCAGAUGAAGUUCCUGGCCUUCACCCUGCAAUUAGCAGUUAGGACAGAGAAGACCUGUCCUGGGGAAGGAGCAGGGGUGGGGCCUAUACACCUGAGUGGGUUCAUUCCCAGAGCCAGACACCCGCUCAACCCAAGCAGCAUCCCUCAUGUCAUCUUCCUUCCCAGACUAUGCCCUGCACCCCUCCCCAUCUGCUGUGGGACCUCAGAUCAGUUACGGAACCUCUCUGUGCCUCUGUGACUGCAUAGGUGAAAACAGGAACUCUCCGAGGCAUAUCCGAUGGAGUUGUUAGCACUGAAUCAGCUCACGGGUAGGUAAUGGCAAAGGGGAGGGAACAAAUUUUAAGACUCUACUUGCUGUCAAACAAAAACUCUUUGGACAUGUCACACAUUUUACCUUUUGAAUUCUCUGAACAACUUCAUAGCUCGGCAGUCAUCUUACAGUUGAAGACCAGGAUGUUUAGAUUGGAGUUUUUUCCCCCAGGUGAUGAGGCGCACAUCUGCCUGAUUCACUGGGCCAUGAUCUUUCCACUACACUGUGCUGCCUCCUUCUCUCUACAAUCUGGAGAAGGGUUCCCAGGGCUGGAGCUCCAGAGCAACCUGUACCCUGAGUCAUCAGAUAACUUGGGAGAGAGGGAGAAAAGGGCAAAAGUGAACUGCAUGCUAUCAUUUUGUGUUCCCCAAUGCCAAAGCACAAGGACAUAUCAGAGGUAA